UACGUAGGGGGCAAGCGUUGUCCGGAAUCAUUGGGCGUAAAGAGCGUGUAGGCGGCUUGGUAAGUCCGCUGUGAAAGUCCAGGGCUCAACCCUGGAAUGCCGGUGGAUACUGUCGGGCUCGAGUACGGAAGAGGCGAGUGGAAUUCCUGGUGUAGCGGUGAAAUGCGCAGAUAUCAGGAGGAACACCUAUUGCGAAGGCAGCUCGCUGGGACGUUACUGACGCUGAGACGCGAAAGCGUGGGGAGCAAACAGG
rnacentral:rRNA from 1 species